rnacentral:rRNA from 1 species
GACGAACGCUGGCGGCGUGCCUAAUACAUGCAAGUAGAACGCACAGUUUAUACCGUAGCUUGCUACACCAUAGACUGUGAGUUGCGAACGGGUGAGUAACGCGUAGGUAACCUGCCUGGUAGCGGGGGAUAACUAUUGGAAACGAUAGCUAAUACCGCAUAAUAUUAAUUAUUGCAUGAUAAUUAAUUGAAAGGUGCAAUUGCACCACUACCAGAUGGACCUGCGUUGUAUUAGCUAGUAGGUGAGGUAACGGCUCACCUAGGCGACGAUAUAUAGCCGACCUGAGAGGGUGAUCGGCCACACUGGGACUGAGACACGGCCCAGACUCCUACGGGAGGCAGCAGUAGGGAAUCUUCGGCAAUGGACGAAAGUCUGACCGAGCAACGCCGCGUGAGUGAAGAAGGUUUUCGGAUCGUAAAGCUCUGUUGUAAGAGAAGAACGGGUGUGAGAGUGGAAAGUUCACACUGUGACGGUAUCUUACCAGAAAGGGACGGCUAACUACGUG